AUAAAACUCAAAUGUUACUCAUUUAGGCGCAGUUUAUUCACAGACUAUUCAUCUUCCUUCUUUAUUCAUUCCUGCACCACAAACGGCGCUACAUCAACUAUUUCUGCCCUAAUUUUCGUUUUUUCACUCCUCACAACCAAAAUUCUUCAAACUUUUUCACUUACCUUUCCAAAAUUAUCCCAAAUCUUCUAAUUCAGUUUCGGGAGCAUGAUCAAGAAACGGGACCAGUUGAAUUCUUUAUAAAGUAUCAUAAGAAAAAGAAUGACACGUUCCUAGAACCAAUUACCCAACAUUUUGUGGUGGCCACCAAGAAACGAGUACGCCAAUCACAAGUACCAAAUACAAGCAUCCAAAAGCAGUUGUGAAGACAUUUUACUUUGGUUUUUAGUUUUGUAUUGUAAUAUGAUGACAAUGAUAUUUUUUGAAUAUUAUUAGAUAUUUUGUAUGUUACGAUUGAUAAAAUUUGUGAAUGUAAUGUAGUAAUCAAAGACAAUAUAUAUAUAUAUA